GACGAACGCUGGCGGCGUGCCUAACACAUGCAAGUCGAACGGGCCAUUUGGAUUCGUCUGAAUGGUUAGUGGCGGACGGGUGAGUAACGCGUGAGCAAUCUGCCCUUCAGUGGGGGACAACAGCUGGAAACGGCUGCUAAUACCGCAUGAUGUAUCUGGGAGACAUCUCCUGGGUACCAAAGAUUUAUUGCUGAAGGAUGAGCUCGCGUCUGAUUAGAUAGUUGGCGGGGUAACGGCCCACCAAGUCGACGAUCAGUAGCCGGACUGAGAGGUUGAACGGCCACAUUGGGACUGAGAUACGGCCCAGACUCCUACGGGAGGCAGCAGUGGGGAAUAUUGGGCAAUGGGCGAAAGCCUGACCCAGCAACGCCGCGUGAAGGAAGAAGGCCUUCGGGUUGUAAACUUCUUUGACGAGGGACGAAAGCAAUGACGGUACCUCGAAAACAAGCUACGGCUAACUACGUG
rnacentral:rRNA from 1 species